CUGGAGAGUGGUAUUUAAUAUUUUUCUUUUUAUUUCUUUGUUUUUUUUGUUCCUUCUUUCUUUCCUUUCUUUCCUUUCUUUCUUUUCUUUCUUUCUUUUCUUUCUUUCUUUUCUUUCUCUCUCUCUCUCUUUCUCUCUUUCUCUCUUUCUUUUCUUUCUUUCUUUCUGUGUUUCUUUCUUUCUUUUUUCUCUCUUUCUUUCUCUCUCUCUUUCUUUCUUUCUUUCUCUCUCUUUCUCUCUCUAUGUCUCUCUCUUUCUUUCUUUCUCUCUCUUUCUUUCUCUCUAUCGCUUUCUCUCUUUCUCUCUUUCUUUCUUUCUUUC
rnacentral:lncRNA from 1 species